UUUUAAUUUUAUAAAAUGGAAAUGGUAGAAGUACUAAUAUUGAAGUUUCCUCUGAAUUUUAUAUUUUGUAGUAUGUUACAAAUUUAAAUCUGAACCACAUGAAUGCUCCAUUAAUGUAGAGAGAGAAAAAGAGAAAGAUUGUUAAGGAUGGUGGGGAGGUGUAGGGUAUUUUUGGAAUAAAGAAAAUAGUGGGGAGGUGUAGAAUAUUUUUGAAAUAAAUUAAAUUAAUGGGGAGGUACAGGUCCCACUUGGGGAGGUGUAGGGAGCAACACCCCUAUAAUUAUGUGCUUCUACAGCUUGUUACCAGGUGCAACACAAAUCAGGUAUAACCAGCCCAAUUCCAAAAAUGGCCCAAUUGACCAGGGCCAAAAUCUGCUAAAAUAAUGAAUUAAAUAAGGGUUAAAACAAAAUUAAGAGAAAAUAUAACCUAUUCUAGCAAAAAGAUAUUUCUAUUUUGUUUUAUGAUUUUUUCUAAAAAGAAUAUAAU
rnacentral:lncRNA from 1 species